rnacentral:rRNA from 1 species
UACGGGGGGGGCAAGCGUUGUUCGGAAUUACUGGGCGUAAAGGGCUCGUAGGCGGCCAACUAAGUCAGACGUGAAAUCCCUCGGCUUAACCGGGGAACUGCGUCUGAUACUGGAUGGCUUGAGUUUGGGAGAGGGAUGCGGAAUUCCAGGUGUAGCGGUGAAAUGCGUAGAUAUCUGGAGGAACACCAAUGGCGAAGGCAGCUCGCUGGGACGGUACUGACGCUGAGACGCGAAAGCGUGGGGAGCAAACAGG